CAUAAAGCAAUUUCCAGCGGAAGAAAACCGGGAGGAACAUACUGUACACAAACGAGCCACUGAUGUCUCUAGUGCUGAAUACAUUUACAAAAGGCACAAACAAACGUACAAAUCUGAGGCUACCUACUACGGCGAGUACCCCGGAGGUGGCGCAUGCGCUUUAGAUCCACUCUCCCCAAUGUCUUCUCAGCCCGGUUGGAUAAGAGUGGCUGCAGGUUCAGAUGACUUUCAAAAAUCUCUCGGCUGUGGAAUGUGCGUGGAAAUUACAGGUUCAGGAAAAGGAAGUGGAUUAGAUCCCGUCACUGGAGUUACCAAAGCCAUUGUUCACGAUUUGUGUGGAGGCUGUGGCAAAGGUGAUUUUCAUAUGAGCAUAAAAUAACCAGAGUGAUUGCUUUGCAAUGUAGACCACUGAAGUGAAAAAAAUUCAACUCCCACAGGAUUGGUUUGGCUCAAGAAGUUUAGGGCCUUGUCAGGAAUGUAAACUAACAAAAGUCUUUCACCCAAGCAUUAAAGGAGCACAGU